GUCUACGGCCAUACCACCCUGAACGUGCCUGAUCUCACCUGAUCUCAGAAGCUAAGCAGGGUCGGGUCUGGUUAGUACUUAGUACUUGGAUGGGAGACA
rnacentral:rRNA from 1 species